UUNAACGCUGGCGGCAUGCCUUACACAUGCAAGUCGAACGGCAGCACGGGAGCAAGUCCUGGUGGCGAGUGGCGAACGGGUGAGUAAUAUAUCGGAACGUGCCCAGUCUGGGGGAUAACGUAGCGAAAGCUACGCUAAUACCGCAUACGAUCUAUGGAUGAAAGCGGGGGAUCGCAAGACCUCGCGCGAUUGGAGCGGCCGAUAUCAGAUUAGGUAGUUGGUGAGGUAAAGGCUCACCAAGCCGACGAUCUGUAGCUGGUCUGAGAGGACGACCAGCCACACUGGGACUGAGACACGGCCCAGACUCCUACGGGAGGCAGCAGUGGGGAAUUUUGGACAAUGGGCGCAAGCCUGAUCCAGCAAUGCCGCGUGCAGGAUGAAGGCCUUCGGGUUGUAAACUGCUUUUGUACGGAACGAAACGGUGAGCUCUAAUACAGUUUGCUAAUGACGGUACCGUAAGAAUAAGCACCGGCUAACUACGUG
rnacentral:rRNA from 1 species